rnacentral:lncRNA from 1 species
AAGGUUGUACCUGCAACCUCCACAGCACCAGCCAGCUCUCAACAAUACGAUCCUGUGCUUUAUGCCCAUAAACUGAUGGAAUUUUAUAAUCUUUCUCCCAUGUAUCUACUUCCCAUGUAUUUCUCAACAACUUCCCAUGUAUUUCUCAACAACUUAUAUUAGGUACCUCCUAAAAGCACAACAACUUAUAUUAGGUACCUCCUAAAAGCACAAGUAGUUCCUAUUUUUUUUGUUGUUGUUCUUUUAAAAUGAUUAACAAAGUAUACAUUUUAGGAAACCAGAAGAUUAAAAAAAAAACAUUGAAAUGCUUUUUCUGUGUUCAAAAUCAUCGCGUUAUAUUAAUCUUAACACACUGACUAUAGUCCUAUUUUGUGAGGUGAGCUAUUUUUAAUAGAACCAUGAGAGAUUUUGGAUACCUACCUUUAGGGAGCAAGUGACCCUUGGUUUUCUCUACAACCUGCAGUACGUUGCAGAAAUACAGUAUAUUGUCUGCACAUUUCUACUUAUUCCUGCAUCAAAAACUAUGGACAGUGAUAGCAUAUUUUUAUACAUUUUAAAAUGGAUCCUGCCUUAAUAAUAAUAUGAAAUACUAAGCAGAUAUGUUCUAAAUCUAUCUCACAAGAGAGUAUUGAGCAUCACAUAUUCCAUAUAUUGUAAUAAGUAGAAUAUAUAUUUUUGAGAAAGGUGAGCAAUGAUAUUUGUGUGACUUUCUUGAGAUCAAUAGUUAACUCUCAAGUUAUUUACUUUUUGUCGUAAAUAAAAAAUGACCAGAAUUAUGAGGUGAUUAUUGAAUCUUAAGGGACUUCAGUCCUAUGCAUGGGAAUAGUCUAAUUUCUCUUUAACUUUUCUGGUCAUGUUUUACAGGGAAUUAAGCAUACAUUGGUAAGAAAAACAUGAAACGUGUUCUUUUUGUGCAUGCAAAUAAUGAUAGGAAGUCAUUUCACUUGUCUUGGAGAAAUUUUUUACUCAGAAAAUAAAUGUUUAUCUAAAAUAUAUCAUAUUUAGAAACAGAAUGGAUAUAAAAGUAGCAAAUUUACAUUUGUAUAAAUUUUCCAUAUGAAGUCCCAGUAUUUACCUCUGUGGCACAUUGCUGGGGUGGCAGGAAACACUCACAGUCCAAAGGAGUGUUCAUUGAGACUUAUUAUCAACUAUAUAACCUACCUUAUUGUGAUAAAUCUUGCAUGAGAAUAUUAAUGACAAUAGGCACAUAUUGAUCAUCUGAUCCAACAUAUACUAGACGGAAGUUUUGCAUCUUUAACCAAGAAAAUUAUAAAUAUUUAAAAUGUAUCUACCGAGAAUUAUAUGAACCUGUAUUCUGAAUCAAAAACUAUACAACUGACAGCAUAAAUAUAUAUAAUAAAUAGAAAGGGUAUACUGGACCUUCUGAAAUCAAUCUCUAGCUACCCUUGGUUAAAGAACUAGUAUUGAUCAGAGUGUCUAAGGAUAUGACAUUAAUCCAAUCAAUAUUUGUUUUUGAUGUUCAAUUUUCUUAUAUUCUAUGAGGUUUUGUUUUCAUGCAAAGUAUUUUUCCUAGGACCUUUAUACUAAAUUUCAAUAGUUUUACAUACACUUGUUCCAAGCACAUUCUUAAAUAUCUAUUCUUAGCUUCUGAUUUCUAUAAAAAUCUCCAUUCCUCUCCACAAUAGUCUCUGGGAUUGUGGGGUAUUUGAACUCUUUCUCUUCCUACUUGUAGCUGUAACUCUUUGUCUUCUUUCUGGUCACUACACUGUAUUUAUUAUUUUCUAACUUGGAAGAAAUUCAGUGUCCUUUAGUGAAUAGAGAUGGAGUUUGGGGUUUAAAAUACUUUCUAUAGAAAGAAUUACUCUCCCUAUUGAAUAAACUAGCAUGAUCCCUCUAUUAUUUAGAUCAUUAUUUUUCUAUUAUAGCAAUAUUAAAUUUAAAUCACUCUGUGGUAACACACAAAUAACAAGAGCAUAUAUUUAAGAAAUGAAUGCUGUAGGCUUGCACCAGAUAAUAGCCCACUUGGGCUUUAGAGGACUUCACCAAGAAUAUUCCUCUGGACAUAUUCCUCCCCAUGGGACAAGGAAUUUACAAGGCCAAAGGGAUGGGGCUAAUUGGAGCUGAUGAAUCCACUUUAACCCCACCUUUUGGAUCAUGCUGUGGUACACUGAGACUUAGAAUUCUGUCCCCAAAUUUCCCCGAGACUCCUUCCAGAGCCCACAUUCCUCUCCUCCAGCCCUGUCUUUCAUGUGAGCUAUAUGUAUAUUAUGCAAAACUAGAGAACACAGUGGUCAAAAAGAAGCUUUUGCAGGAGUCAUUGAUGGUAGACUGAGCUUGGACAGGUUAACUGAACUCCUGUACACAAAGCCUCUUACGGGACGGUGUCCGGGGGCCAUCUUGCCACUUGUCAGCACAGUCUUGUGUAGACCUUUGAGGAUCCAAGCUUUUGUUAAGGGAAUUUUGUCAAAGUGGAAGAACAAAGCACAUUUUUUUAAAUAAUUUAACUUGAUUUAUAACUCUUAAAUAUUGAAAUGUGUAUUGUAUGGGUCCUGAUUAUUAUUCUUGCCCUGGGCUCUAAGAAUGUUCAACCUGAUUUAAAUAUUUUACAAGAUAUAAGAAAGUAAUUGCAUAUACUCACAAAUAGAAAUGUAAACCUCGACUAGCCUCUAUUUUUAAAAUACAGUGACAUCUUCCACUUAACAUCUUAUUUACAAUGGGAGCCCUUGUGAUAUCCUCAAAGAUUCAUUUACAGUUGCCCUAUUUAAGAUUCAUUUUCCUCAGGAGAAAAAAAAAAAAAUGUGUCCUGUUUGCAUAGCAAAGCUUUAUUUCUCAAAACUCCUAAGUUGUAAAAGUGGAGCAGAUAUGUCUUAUCCAUAUUGUUUUUAGUCUAGGUCAUAUUAAUAAGACAAAUUUUUGGUCAUAAGUUAGUUUUAUAAUUUUAGUUGGAUCUUAGAGCAGUUUAAUUGUUAAUCUAAUAUAUGCUACACACACACACACACACACACACACACAGAGUUAUUUCUAAUACAAACUUUAAGAAGUAGACUUGAUUCACCAGGAAUCAAAAUGGAAUCUGAGUGAUAACUUGAUAAUAUCUUUUUGAGUAUUAAUACUUGAGUAGGUGAACCCAGUUAAAAAUGUGCAAACCCUUAAAAGUGUUUCCUCUCUAAACAGUUUGAAUCUGUUUACGGAGAAUCAGGCUAGUAGUGUUUUGUACAUGGACUCCUGCAUACUUCUACUAAAGUAUAUCAACAUUUGCUAUUCAGAUGAUCUCACACACUAUUUAUCAAACCAGGACCUUAUUAUUAUUUUUUCAUUAUGUUGUAGUUAUAUCAUGCACUUUAUUAAGUAACAGAUGGAUACUUAGAUCUGGGGAAGAAAAUUCUGUUGAAAAAGCUUAAAGAUGUCUCUGAUACUCUCUUUCCCCCCAGCUAUGUAUCCAUAACUGUUAAAUUCAAAUCUAAUUUGGAACAACGAAGGUCCUUCCUUCAUAACCUUCCACAAGAGACUGAGAAUCAUAAUGAGACACAUUAAUGAAGCCCAGUUACCUUCUGAUAAUACCGUCAUUAACACUUAUUAUCACAUAAUUAGAUUGGACAUUGGCCAUCUCAGAGCCAAUUUAAAAGAAGGGAAAAAAACACUAUAUAUCAAGGAAAUAUAUGAGAAUAAAACACUGUGAGGGGUGUUUGAAUAACAAUAAAAUUUCAGAGAGAAUGAGACAUCUUAUCUUCCCUAUUAGCAGUUUGAAACAGUAGUAAUCAAAUCAAACUCUCCCCUAUCUUUUACUUGAGUUACUUGUUAAAUCUUCUACCAUCUCCACCUGGAGCAGUUAUCUCAGCAAUGACAUUUUUAGUGAUGGGAAAAAAGUCAUAAUAGCUGUGGGUAAUUGUGAGGUAGAAUCAACACAACUCUGAACUUUAUAGGUCACGAUAUCUCUGUAGCUUGUGGGUAAAAACUGCAGUUUGAAAUAGAUAACUGUGUCACCCUUAGCAUCUUCCCUUUUCCUAUUUUUUUUUCUUGUGUGCAAGUUUACAAAGGUCAGAUGUCAGUAUGAUCUAGAAUAAGAGCUUUUGUGGCUGACUUUGAAAGGUUACUUUAGAGAAAAUUUCAUGAAGCAGCAGUACCCCAAAGAGCUGCAGGGAAUGUGGCUAAAAUCAUAUUCCUUCCUAAAGGAGCUUCUAACACAUUAGCAGUAUAGAGUGUUGGAUUUGAGCAUGCAUCUGAGAGUUGGUCUCUAUUUACCAAAUAGAAAUAAAGAGGCAUCUGAAGGUCAUAUUUACACUUCUGAGGUCAUGUUCACAGGACAUCAAAACAACGCAAAAAUCAAUUCUACAUAAUGGCAAAAUUUCAAACACCUAUUUAAUGAUUCACUAGAAUAAUAAUUGUAAUGCAAAAUAUUUGUAAUAGUGAAGGGAAUGUCACAGGGCUCAUUUCUCUAUUGACUAUGAUACCACAUCAAGCCUUCCAAAAUCUAAAAAAAUUUUAUUGGCUGUUUGUCCCACAAAACCAUAAUUUCCCUAAUAUAUAUUUUCAGGAAAACAGUGAAGUUCAGAGUUCUGCCAGAAUUAGGUUAAGGAAAUAUUUUUAAUAUGCCUUUCAUUAAUGUAGUUGACAAUAUAAAUGGAUUGAAAAAGUGGGGACUACUAUAAAUAUCUGCCUAAAUCAAUCCCAGAUAUUUUAGCUGCAAAUGACUUAUCAUUAUUAUAAUUAAAGCAUUGUGAAGGUGCUUUGUUUGAAUGUGAUCAAAUGACAUAUAAUAGCUCACUUUUAAUAAAAAAAAUAUACUUUCAGUAAAGCACAGACUAGUUUUAUCUCUGAGACAGACUCAUAUUUUACAUUGUCAGUGCUAGAAAGGUGAUACAAUUGAUGUGUUUCUUUAUUUCUAUUUUGUUAUUAUUUUUUUAAGGUGGGGAAAGAUUCUGGCCUUGGGGAGGGAUAGGAGCUGGAUUGGGUAACCAAUGGUGUGUUUACUUUUAGGGCAUCAUGAUAAAAAUAAGAUACAUCCAUAAAAUUAAGUGUUCUGUCUUGAUAGUGUCAAAGAGACAUAGUCAGAAAGAGAGACAGACACACAGAGAGCAAUAUCUGGUAAACAUACAUACAUACAUACAUGCAAAAAUGUGGUCAGCCAGUAGAUUUCAUACAGGAAUUUGUAUGGGCUAGAUUUUUUUCUCUUUUCUCUUCUUCUUAUCUUCAUUGGGGAAAUAUUAAAUGCACAUCUCAACAGAAAUAUUAUUUUUUGACCAUUGUAGUAAAAACACUUGCAAUGCACUACACUACAAUGCACUGCACUACAGAGUGCAGUUCAGGUAUCAGUAUGUCUGAAAAUCUCACAUUUCUGUGUGUAUCUAUUUACUAUAGUAUCCAAAUUACAAUAAAUGUAUCAAUAUUCAAUGAGCAUUUUUUAACUGAAUUCUCUUUUGCAAGGCAUUUCUGAGAAUCCCUGCAUGAUAUCUGUACCAUCAUAUUGUCUAUCCAGGUGUUUGUAUAUUUCCUCUGCCAGAAAAUUUUAUUUUAUCGCUGCUGUAACAUGUUGGGGGUCAACACAUAUUUCCACAGAUCCACAGAUUGUGUUGCUUUCCCCCAUACCACCUUUUCACCAGAAUUGGCACAAGUCACUUCCAUCACUGAUAAGAAAUUAGCCUAGGUUUGACUGCAGUUUUUAACAAAACUUUUCUGGAGGCUUAAAAAAUAAGUAAAGUAUAAUACAGAAGGUGACUUCUCCUGGUAACAAAAGUGAUUACUCUUAAGGCUCAAAGGUCCAAGACAAAUACCAGCAUCCCUGGAAGUUUUCGUAUGUUUCAUAAGGUCUGCUUGAUUACAAUCCAUCAAUUUCUUUUUGGUUUGAAUUUUACUCGGAGUCCUCCAUUCACCAUAUCCUUAAUUUCUGUGUCUUGAUUCCCAAAGCAUAAAUAAUGAAGGGGAAAACUAGCACAACAUUGUAAAUCAACUAUCCUUAGAUAAGUAAAAAUUAAUGAGGGAGAGGAAUUCUCAUUGUGGCUCAGCAGUUAACAAACCUGACUAGCAUCCAUGAGGACAUGGCUUUGAUCCUUGGCCUUGCUCAGUGGAUUAAGGAUCUGGCAUUGCCAUGAGCUGUGGUGUAGGUCACAGACACAGCUCAGAUCUCGUGUUGCUGUGGCUGUGGCAUAGGCCAGCUGCUACAGCUCUGAUUCGACCCCCUAGCCUGGGAAUCUCCAUAUGCUGCA